rnacentral:snoRNA from 1 species
AAGCAACACUCUAUGACAGAUUACUGAAACUGAUACAAUUUGAACUUGCUACAGCAAGAAAGUGUAACCUAUUCCAGUGUUCUCUCUUCCAUGAGACAAGCUGUUAUAUAGGCUUAAGCAGU